AGCAGCCGCGGUAAUUCCAGCUCCAAUAGCGUAUAUUAAAGUUGUUGCAGUUAAAAAGCUCGUAGUUGAAUUUCGGGAUUAGUACGCUGGUCAUGCCUUUGGUAUGUACUGGUGUUACUGAUUUCUACCUUCUGAAGAACCGUUAUGUCAUUCAUUUGGUGUGGCGGGGAAUCAGGACUGUUACUUUGAAAAAUUAGAGUGUUUAAAGCAGGCUCGCGCUUGAAUACAUUAGCAUGGAAUAAUGAAAUAGGACGUUGAUCCUAUUUGUUGGUUUCUAGGAUUGACGUAAUGAUUAAUAGGGAUAGUUGGGGGCAUUAGUAUUCAAUUGUCAGAGGUGAAAUUCUUGGAUUUAUUGAAGGCUAACUACUGCGAAAGCAUUUGCCAAGGAUGUUUUCAUUAAUCAAGAACGAGAGUUAGGGGAUCGAAGACGAUCAGAUACCGUCGUAGUCUUAACCAUAAAACUAUGCCGACUAGGGAUCGGAUGAUGUUAAUUUU
rnacentral:rRNA from 1 species